ensembl:misc_RNA 7SK 7SK RNA
GGAUAUGAGGGGUGAUCUGGCUGUAACAUCAGUCACACCUUUGAUUGCCAGGGUUGAUUCACCUUAUCUGGCUGGCUAGGUAAGUAGGUGUCCCCUUCCUCCCUCACUGCUCCAUGUGUCUCUCCUGAAGCUGUGUGCUUGGUGGAAGAGGACAGCCUUCCUCAAGCAGAGAGACAGGCCGGUCUUUGGUCGAGGGUAUACAAGUAACUGCACUCCCCUGCUAGAACCUCCAAACAAGCUCUCAAAAAGAAUAAGGAUUUGUACUACAGCACAACAAUACAACCUACAACAAAGAGUGACUUUGCCAAAGCCACCUU